rnacentral:tRNA from 1 species
AUAGCAAAAAGCAACAGUUUCCUAAACUGUAGGUCGGAGGUUCGAAUCCUCUU